GGGAGGUCAGCCUGGCCUUGGAAAUAUGCUGCUGCUAGUCACAUGUGAAGUGGUUGAUGUUUGUGAUAUUCUUAAAACCUCUUUAUGGUAAACAGUACAGGCAAUUAUUUUCCUCUAUUUUCAGACUAAAUCAAGUGGGUCGAAGAAGUCUUAAGAAGAGGCUCCAUUUCCAGCUAACAGGUGGCAUUUCAGAGGACAUCUUUAGCAGUAUGAACAUUUAUCUGACCUCUCUUACAAAGAGAUCCCUGAUGAUCUCAAUAUGCAGCGAAAGUCUGGGAACCUCUGGGGUAGGAGAAGUCUCUGAGGCCAGAGGCUGUUAUAUUUUGGCAUUAGUUCACUCAGAAUGUUCUGAACUAAAUAAAAAUGUUGAGUGUUGCUUCCAUUUUAUGCCUAUGUGAAGUUGAAUUUUUAAUAAUGAGUGUGAUAAAAAUAAAGUACUGGAACGAGUUGCCCAUUUGAAC
rnacentral:lncRNA from 1 species